GGGAGGCGGAAGAGGUUUCCGGCUCUACGCUCGGGAAUCCCGGGACCAGUGAGGGGCCACCCGGGAUACAGGAAAGGGCCGCCGGGGCGGGUUGGCCGCCCUCGGGGUGUCGGGACUGCGGGCCUGAGGGAUGAGGAGAGGCCAUGGCCAGCGACGGGGCCAGGAAGCAGUUCUGGAAGCGCAGCAACAGCAAGGUCCCGGGCAGGCUCUGGCCAUGGCUCACGGGCCUAGCCGUUACAUGGCAUGUGGGAUCUUCCUGGACCGGAGCACGAACCUGUGUCCUCUGCAUCGGCAGGCGGACUCUCAACCACUGCGCCACCAGGGAAGCCCUAGAUUCUGAUCCUUAACAACCAGCUGAGGUGUGAGAAUAAUCGAGCUCCUGUGUGUACUUAUAAUGGUGAAUAAACCUUUGGAUUGAUGACUGUG